rnacentral:tRNA from 2 species
AGCUCAGUUGGUAGAGC